rnacentral:rRNA from 1 species
AUUGAACGCUGGCGGCAGGCCUAACACAUGCAAGUCGAGCGAGCGGCGGACGGGUGAGGAAUGUCUGGGAACCUGCCGGAUGGAGGGGGAUAACUACUGGAAACGGUAGCUAAUACCGCAUACCAUCAGAUGUGCCCAGAUGGGAUUGGCUAGUAGGUGGGGUAACGGCCCACCUAGGCGACGAUCCCUAGCUGGUCUGAGAGGAGGACCAGCCACACUGGAACUGAUACACGGUCCAGACUCCUACGGGAGGCAGCAGUGGGGAAUAUUGCACAAUGGGCGCAAGCCUGAUCCAGCCAUGCCGCGUGUAUGAAGAAGGCCUUCGGGUUGUAAAGUACUUUCAGCGGGGAGGCGUUACCCGCAGAAGAAGCACCGGCUAACUCCGUGCCAGCAGCCGCGGUAAUUC